GAGAGUACUCCAGUCCCCUUUCAACACGAAAGAGAUUUCAUUAUUGUUAGAUCUCUAGAAGAUAACCUAGCUUUUCUAUACAAGACUCUAACCAAUAAAACCACUAAGAACAAUCCUCUUGGAUUUUCACUAAAUACACUAAGAGAACAAUCCUCUCUUAAUGACUCUCUUUCUUCCAACAAUCCUGGACAGAAAUAUACAACCAAACAAGUAGAACAAGAAAAUAAUCAUUUCCUUUCUACUCUCUUGUUUCUAACAAUCCUAGGGAACAAGAAAUUACAAACCAAAUAUGGAAAUUAUUUGAGUAAUAAAGUUGAUGAGUAUUUAUCAAUCACUUAG